UGCUCUUCUUCUUGGGUGAAGAGAGGUGGCCAAUUAGCCGUUACUCCGCGUACCAUGCCUCUUACAAACCCAGGGCCCAACAGACCAGCGAACCACCUCCACGGCCAUUCUCCUUCGUCCGUAUACUCCGCACGAUCGUUUCUCGCAUGUCUGCUCUCACCGUUGCAGUUGCAUCGCGGCGUUUCGAGAGGAUCCUAGCACAAUGUAUAACCUCAGCGUUUAUAGUUUUCAUUUUCUUGAGGAUAUCACAAGCUCGCAUCGUGGACCAGGCCGAGUCGUAAAGAUUAAAGAUUCAACUACGAAGUGCGUUUCGUGGAUUAUUCCAAUGAAAAAAUAGGGGAAACAGGUCUGAAAAACUAACUGGCGAAAAAAGUCCUUAAAUCGACGUCUGACAGUUACUCGUCGGACCUUUCGAUCAGCUGUCACAACAUCUCACGCGGACAUUCCCGCAUCCUUGAGAUCAUUUCGACCGCAACGUUUUAGGAACAGUUAUCUGCGGUACGAGGAAAGCAACCCAGGUGCCUGGAGACCGGAGGAGGGAACCGAUUCUAUUAUCACGAGAAAUGAUUAAUUGUUGUACGAAUAAAAUAGGCUAGCGCUGAGAAACUGGAGUGAAAAAGAAUGUACAGUUUCUACGUUCCAUCAACGAGCGAGAGCGGUCAAACAAUCGAAUCUGCUCGAGGAAAGUAACCUUCGCUAAUUCAGUUAAAUUUUACUUACACGUUCGACUAUGAAUCGUUAUUGAACCGCUACCGCGCGUCUCCUGAUACAACGAGAUGUGACAAAAUUUAGGCAAAGUUUUGUGGGUUUAAUUUAUUACUAAAUUAUUAUUAUAUUAUUGUUACAGUUUCCUUCUCCUGUAUGAGCAUGAAUUUGUCUCAUUACUAAAAUGAAGAUCUUGUGCUCGACAACGAUCGUCCUUAGUAAUAAACAAGAUAAAAGACACAGAAGACGUACGAACCUCGAGUGAUACGCAUCACAUUGUAUUCUGUUGUAUAACAAACUGCCUCAUACUAAAAACUAAUCAAAUUAUUUAUUUCACUAACAAUAUUAUAUGUAUAUUAAAAUAUUGUAUACAAAAAUAUAAAUUGAAUGUAAAUAUAAAAAUGAAAUCAUUAUUGAAUUAUCAAAAGCGUUCCGAAACGAUAAAAAUUUCAAAAACAUUCAUUCGCCUUCCCAUUUUAGGAAGGAACGACGCGUGAAUCUGUCGGUUUGUCGAUACUGUAGAAAUUUAAAUAAACAAAGUAAUAGAGUUGA
rnacentral:lncRNA from 1 species